rnacentral:lncRNA from 1 species
CAGAUAAAAUGAACAAAAAUUAAUGGUAAAGAUGUCAAUAGCUUAAUGACAGGGAUACUUUUAAAAAUAUAGGACGUUACCGGACACUACCCUCAAAAUAUAAGGUCUGAACGGACUUUUACCCUUUUACAUCAUCAAAAAGAUAGGAGGGUAGCCGGACCCCUACCUAUUAUAUAGUUCAAAUAAUGAAGAAAAUAUAAGAAGGGGAAACCAAAUCCUCCUAAUAGAAGCAAGAUUAAAAAGCAAUAUACCGAAAAGUUCCAAAAAAAUCGAGCCAAUAAGGCAAAAUCAAAAAAUCAACGUUGAACAUAUGGGAUCUCUCAUGAGCAUUUAAACGAAGGAUGCUGUACAAACCAAUUGCAAGGUCCUCAUAAAUAAAAAAAUCAUUGAUAACUUUGAUGAGUACAGGCCCAGUUGGCCAUGAAAUCAACUGUAAAUGUAGCCUCUUAAAAGACAUAUCUGAUAAUGAUAAAAGGACUAAACAAUAAAGCAUGAAUUUGGCCAAGGAAAUCUUAUCGCACUAAGCCAUGAGAAAUAGCCCAAAAGACCACGAUGGCCCAAUCAGACUCCGUCUCAAAAACAAAAAACACAAAGCUGAGCAGCAAGAUCCAAACCCUUAAGAAUAGCCAUCGGCUCAAUGAAUAGAACAGGCUGGUGUCCUAAUAAAGAACCAAAAGCAGCUAACAUCACUUCUCAAUGGUCAUGUAGAAUACCACCAGUAGCAAACAUACUAGGAUUGGCUGUAGAACAACCAUGCGCACUCAACUUCACACCCCAAAUGGCGGCCUCAACUUGAAAAUGAAUGAAUCAAUCUACGAGGAGACAGAAUAAUCUACAAAAAUAUACGUGUCCAAAAUACCCCUCAACUAAAUUGUCUAAAACCAAAAGUAGAGUUGGCGAGCCUAAGGUCAAAAACUAACUAAAAGACAACAUCACCCACAUGAAAGACAAUAGAAUCAAACCUAAAAAUAUUUCGAGUCUUCUGGACAUGUCAUAGUAUGAAGCAUGGGAGAAACACUCAAAUAUGUCAUCGAGCACAGUACCAUCAUUGAAUAAACAAAGCAUAGGGAGAUAAAAAGAAUGAAGGUAACAAAGACCAAUCAUCAAAUAAAACCACCACUAUCCUAACCAAAGGGCAAUCCAAAAGUAAAUGUCUGAUAGUCCCAACAGCUUUACCACAAUAACAACAAGAUACAUAAACCCAUCAAGUACAAUGACCAUCCAACUAAUUUGUAUUAAUAAAAAAAAAAUUUAUACUAUAUAAAAUUUUGGAAGUGAUUCAAUUAGGAAUAAGAAAAGUUAAAUGCCUAUUUGGUAUGACUUAUCUUAUGAUUAUAAGUACUUAUUUAAUUUCAUAAGCUUUUAUCAUAAUUUUUAUUGUUACUUGAUUUUUUUUUUUACUAGAGCUUUUGAAGCUUAAAUAAGCUAUUUUGCCUCUAUUAGCAAAAAUUCAAAU